GUUCCACACGCAGCCCGACCCCUCCCACUGCAGUUCUCCUUCUCUUCUUCCGGUUUCACAGCACGAUCUCCCUCUCCCCUCUUCCAUCAUCUCCUCCUCUUCCUCUCCUCGCACCAGCAGCCCUUCCCCUUCUUCCCUUCCUUUCCUUCACAUUCAGAGGGACCAAGAGAGAGACUUUGGGGUCCGUUUUUCCGGUGGGUCGCCGGUGAAGCAAAUAGGCACGAUUUCCGGUGAUUUUCUGGCGAUCUAGAGCUGACUUCCGGCAAAAUCAAAGGACGAUUUUCAAUGGGGUCGACGAAGGGUUGUGUUAUAAUUGGAGACUUCAAUGGGUUCUUCAAUGUAGAGUUGGAGUCGUGAGUCCAAUGCAGCCAGAUGAUGUUCCUUUGGUUGCAGGUACUCGGGUCGUAGUUGAUGGGGUUGUAGACGUGCAUUUGGGAUAUUAUGACCGGAGCUCGCCGCGACGAUCGUAAAUGUGGGACCAUGGGCGUCCUCAAUUUCAUAGGUUUUGUUAUGGUUUGUGACACAUGUGUCACUCGUUAUUGUAUAAGGCAAUUUCUGUUAUGUAUUUAUAUUGAGGAAAGAUUUAAACACAUAGAUGUUAAAUGGCUCUUGUUGUUAUUAAUUUAUGAUAGAUGUUUAAGAUGUGA